rfam:Gossypium raimondii Chr10_contig_15, whole genome shotgun sequence.
UUUUAAAAAUUUCAUUCAUAUUAUACUAUUAAAAAUUAACGUGACUAAUGGAAUAAUCAGACGGUAAUAGAUGACGUGCCAUUUGUACCUGACAUACAAAAACCAGUUUUUAAAUGUGGAAAUAAAUGAAAUUUUUAACA